rnacentral:lncRNA from 1 species
GUUAGAUUAACGAGAGUCUUAUCUUUAAAUGGCUGUAAAAUAGUCAUAUGUUUGAGAAAUUGAAGUAAUAGGAUUUUGAAGAUUUUGAAAAUCGCGCCACAGGCUGGCAGUGGAUGUUACGUAGGUGGGACGAAUUCGUCCCGCCGGUCCCAUAGAGGUUAACUAGCUUUUAGCCCUCUAAACUGGGUCGUUUUUGUAUCAAAUUCAAUUUAGCUUUGUUUGUCAAAUUUGUCUGGGGGUGCAUAAAAAUUGCAGAAAAGCUCCAUUGUCUAUUGAAAAGCUAGUUAAAUAGAACAUUCUCAGUAAUGUAGCACACAUGGUCUGUUCCAGUGUGACUAGAGCUAUCAUUUGACACCGUUUCAAUAAACAAUGGAGCUUUUCUGCGAUUUUUAUGCUCCCCCAGACAAAUUUGACAAACAAAGCUAAAUUGAAUUUGAUACAAAAACGACCCAGUUUAGAGGGCUAAAAGCUAGUUAAAUAGGACAUUCUCAGUA